UGCUCUGUGGAUAAAUCUGUG
rnacentral:piRNA from 1 species